UACGGAGGGUGCAAGCGUUAUCCGGAUUCACUGGGUUUAAAGGGUGCGUAGGCGGGCAGGUAAGUCAGUGGUGAAAUCUCCGGGCUUAACCCGGAACUGCCGUUGAUACUAUCUGUCUUGAAUAUCGUGAGGUAAGCGGAAUAUGUCAUGUAGCGGUGAAAUGCUUAGAUAUGACAUAGAACACCCAAUUGCGAAGGCAGCUCGCUACACAUAUAUUGACUCUGAGGCACGAAAGCGUGGGGAUCAAACAGG
rnacentral:rRNA from 1 species